GCGGAUGUGGUGGAAUUGGUAGACACGCCAGCUUGAGGGGCUGGUGAGCGAAAGCUCGUGGGGGUUCAAGUCCCCCCAUCCGCA
rfam:Shewanella pealeana ATCC 700345, complete genome.